rnacentral:rRNA from 1 species
UGCAUGUCUAGUAUAAGCUGCUUAUACUGUGAAACUGCGAAUGGCUCAUUAAAUCAGUUAUAGUUUAUUUGAUGGUACCUUACUACUCGGACAACCGUAGUAAACCUAGAGCUAAUACGUGCGUAAAUCCCGACUUCUGGAAGGGACGUAUUUAUUAGAUAAAAGACCGACCGGCUUCGGCCGACCCUCGGUGAAUCAUGAUAACUUCACGAAUCGCAUGGCCCCGUGCCGGCGAUGUUUCAUUCAAAUUUCUGCCCUAUCAACUUUCGAUGGUAGGAUAGAGGCCUACCAUGGUGGUAACGGGUGACGGAGAAUUAGGGUUCGAUUCCGGAGAGGGAGCCUGAGAAACGGCUACCACAUCCAAGGAAGGCAGCAGGCGCGCAAAUUACCCAAUCCCGACACGGGGAGGUAGUGACAAGAAAUAACAAUACCGGGCUCUUUCGGGUCUGGUAAUUGGAAUGAGAACAAUCUAAACCCCUUAUCGAGGAUCCAUUGGAGGGCAAGUCUGGUGAGCCUCAUGCUGUCGCCAGAGAUAGUGGGGCGCCCACGGCCGCGUGGGCGCUACGCCUGCUAGUCGAGCCACCACGUCCACGGAUUGGGUCGGUGGCCGGCGAGGUGACCUGGUACGGGGGAGGCCUUCAACCGACAUUACGGAAGGGCUAAUCCCGUGGCGAGCCUGCAAAGAGCGAUCUCUGCGAGGCCGUCGUAACGCACGCUAAGGCACCGGGUGCUCUCUCCGCGCGAGAGGCGCCUCAAGGGACGUGCUAAACCCACCCGAUGAAAAAGGGUGCGCUGCAGAAUAGUUCCCAAUCAACGAAGCUGCAGCGGGGCGAGAGGCUCAGGAGGAAAUGCCUGGGACUGCCCGGUAUCGUUGGCCAGCAGCCGCGGUAAUUCCAGCUCCAAUAGCGUAUAUUUAAGUUGCUGCAGUUAAAAAGCUCGUAGUCGGUUUUCGGGCGGGACGCGUCGGUCUGCCUUUGGUAUGCACUGGCGUGACCCGCUUUUCUGCCGGGGACGGGCUCCUGGGCUUUACUGUCCGGGACCCGGAGUCGGCGCUGUUACCUUGAGGGGGAGAGAGAGGUUGGCAGCGAAAAGUCGCCCGGAAACGGGCGGCUAGUGGGCUGGAGGCCCCAUCUCCAGCCCGCGACACCGUCGAAUUGCGGGAAACUCCUUAGAGCUCCGCCUACCAAGCUGCCGGCCGAAAGGCGCGCAGUGGCCAGGGUAAUGACCUCGGGUAUGGUAAAAACGGUGGAGAUUGGAAAAUCCGCAGCCAAGCUCCUAAGGGCGAGCACGCCUACGGAGAAGGUUCAGAGACUAAGUGGCGGUGGGGGGCGCACGCCGGCCCCUUAAGAUAUAGUCCAGCCCUGCGGAGACGCAGCCCAGAGAGGAAAGGCUGAAUGGCCCGAGUGGCAUGUUCAAACAGUCGUGGUGAGUGACUCUAUACCACGGGAUCCUUCCACAGAUUUCCUACCACGGAAUCCUGCCACGGAAUCCAACGGUGAACAUGCCGACAUCUCGGGCCUGGGACGCGCAGCCCGGAGCUCUGGGAGCCGCCCGAACACCCCCGGGCGGUGGGACCACCUGUACCUUGAGUAAAUUGGAGUGUUCAAAGCAGGCAUACGCUCUGAACAUAUUAGCAUGGAAUAACGUCAUAGGACUCUGGCCUAUUUCGUUGGUCUGUGGGACCGGAGUAACGACCAAUGGGGGCAGUCGGGGGCAUUCGUAUUUCGUUGUCAGAGGUGAAAUUCUUGGAUUUACGAAAGACGAACUGCUGCGAAAGCGUUUGCCAAGGAUGCUUUCGUCGAUCAAGAACGAAAGUUGGGGGCUCGAAGACGAUUAGAUACCGUCCUAGUCUCAACCAUAAACGAUGCCGACUAGGGAUCGGCGGAUGUUCUUUCGAUGACUCCGCCGGCACCUCAUGAGAAAUCAAAGUGUUUGGGUUCCGGGGGGAGUAUGGUCGCAAGGCUGAAACUUAAAGGAAUUGACGGAAGGGCACCACCAGGCGUUGACAGCUGUAGCUCUAGCGCCCAAGAGUCCCCCCGAAAGGGCGGGGCUAGUCGCCGUCCGGUCGCGAGCCGGUGAGACCGGACGGUCGGCGACACUGUCGAACUGCGGGAAACUCCUUAGAGCCGGUGGUACCAAGCCAGGGCGGAAACGCACCUGGUGGCCAGGGUAAUGACCUCGGGUAUGGUAAAAACCCACCGGAUUGGACGAUCCGCAGCCAAGCUCCUAAGGGCCGCCAGGCCUACGGAGAAGGUUCAGAGACUAGGUGGCAGUGGGCUGUCUGGCUGCGCCAGAUGGCUUAAGAUAGAGUCCGUCCCUGCCGAGAGGCAGCUCUGAGACGAAAGGCCCACCCAGCCCGGAGCUCAGAGAGCUCGCGCGCCCCGCUUUGGUUCCCAAAGCCAGGCGACGCGAGUGGGGUUGAACGGGAGCCUGUGGCUUAAUUUGACUCAACACGGGAAAACUUACCAGGUCCAGACAUAGUGAGGAUUGACAGAUUGAGAGCUCUUUCUUGAUUCUAUGGGUGGUGGUGCAUGGCCGUUCUUAGUUGGUGGGUUGCCUUGUCAGGUUGAUUCCGGUAACGAACGAGACCUCAGCCGCUAAAUAGUCCGGCCCGUUUUUACGAGUCGCAGACUUCUUAGAGGGACUAUCUGCGUCUAGCAGAUGGAAGCAUGAGGCAAUAACAGGUCUGUGAUGCCCUUAGAUGUUCUGGGCCGCACACGCGCUACACUGACGCGAUCAGCGAGCCUAGCCUUGGCCGAGAGGUCCGGGUAAUCUUGCAAACCGCGUCGUGAUGGGGAUAGAUUAUUGCAAUUAUUAAUCUUCAACGAGGAAUGCCUAGUAAGCGCGAGUCAAUAGCUCGCGUUGAUUACGUCCCUGCCCUUUGUACACACCGCCCGUCGCUCCUACCGAUUGGGUGUGCUGGUGAAGCGUUCGGAUCGGUGCGUUGUGGCGGUUCCGCUGCGUCGCGC